GACGAACCGUGCGAACGUUGUUCGGAUUCACUGGGCUUAAAGGGCGCGUAGGCGGGUUGUCAAGUCUGGGGUGAAAUCCUCUCGCUUAACGAGGGAACUGCCUUAGAUACUGGUGACCUCGAGGAAGGUAGGGGCAUGUGGAACUUCCGGUGGAGCGGUGAAAUGCGUAGAUAUCGGAAGGAACGCCGGUGGCGAAAGCGACGUGCUGGACCUUUUCCGACGCUGAGGCGCGAAAGCCAGGGGAGCAAACGGG
rnacentral:rRNA from 1 species